UGGGUUGGGCUCCAGAUCUGCCCCCUAUGGAUAGUGUUGAUGAUGCCUUCCAUAGGUCGGUUCUCAGGAUUUCCUUCAAAUUGCUGCUCAACUCGAGUGUCAUUUUUUGAUGCCCAUCCACAUAUUCCCUAAGUCAUCUAUGCCCAAUGGGUAUCUCGAUUUUUUCACAGAGUUGCAUGAACUCUUCAAUAUCAUGGCCAUGAUUGCAAUGAUACUGGC
rnacentral:lncRNA from 1 species